CCCUUAGAUGUUCUGGGCAGCACGCGCGCAACAAUGGUCUUCGCAAACGGAUGCAUUCUCGAAGGAGAAUGCCAAUCUUGGAAUCUAUGCCUUGGUCGGGACAGUUGCUUGCAAUUUUUCGACUCGAACCAGGAAUUCCUUGUAAUCGUGAUUCAUCACAUCACGAUGAAUACGUCCCUGCCCUUUGUACACACCGCCCGUCGCUCCUACCGAUCGAAGAGUUAGGUGAAUUGUUUUGAUCGAUAAGAUUUGACUAUGGUCAACUCUCGUUGUGAAAUUCUGUGAAUCUGACUGUUUAGAGGAAGGAAAAGUCGUAACA
rnacentral:rRNA from 1 species